UGGCUCAGAGGUUAAAGCGUCUGCCUGCAAUGCGGGAGACCUGGGUUCGAUCCCAG
rnacentral:tRNA from 1 species